UUUGAUCCUGGCUCAGAGCGAACGCUGGCGGCAUGCUUAACACAUGCAAGUCGCACGAAGGUUUCGGCCUUAGUGGCGGACGGGUGAGUAACGCGUAGGAAUCUGUCCACGGGUGGGGGAUAACUUUGGGAAACUGAAGCUAAUACCGCAUGAUACCUGAGGGUCAAAGGCGCAAGUCGCCUGUGGAGGAGCCUGCGUUUGAUUAGCUGGUUGGUGGGGUAAUGGCCUACCAAGGCGAUGAUCAAUAGCUGGUUUGAGAGGAUGAUCAGCCACACUGGGACUGAGACACGGCCCAGACUCCUGCGGGAGGCAGCAGUGGGGAAUAUUGGACAAUGGGGGCAACCCUGAUCCAGCAAUGCCGCGUGUGUGAAGAAGGUUUUCGGAUUGUAAAGCACUUUCGGCGGGGACGAUGAUGACGGUACCCGCAGAAGAAGCCCCGGCUAACUUCGUGCCAGCAGCCGCGGUAAUACGAAGGGGGCUAGCGUUGCUCGGAAUGACUGGGCGUAAAGGGCGUGUAGGCGGUUUGUACAGUCAGAUGUGAAAUCCCCGGGCUUAACCUGGGAGCUGCAUUUGAUACGUGCAGACUAGAGUGUGAGAGAGGGUUGUGGAAUUCCCAGUGUAGAGGUGAAAUUCGUAGAUAUUGGGAAGAACACCGGUGGCGAAGGCGGCAACCUGGCUCAUAACUGACGCUGAGGCGCGAAAGCGUGGGGAGCAAACAGGAUUAGAUACCCUGGUAGUCCACGCUGUAAACGAUGUGUGCCAGAUGUUGGAUAACUUAGUUAUUCAGUGUCGUAGUUAACGCGUUAAGCACACCGCCUGGGGAGUACGGCCGCAAGGUUGAAACUC
rnacentral:rRNA from 1 species